rnacentral:rRNA from 1 species
UACGGGGGGAGCAAGCGUUGUUCGGAUUUACUGGGCGUAAAGGGCGCGUAGGCGGUCGUGACAAGUCACUUGUGAAAUCUCCGGGCUUAACUCGGAAAGGUCAAGUGAUACUGUCGGACUAGAGUACAGAAGGGGCAACUGGAAUUCUCGGUGUAGCGGUGAAAUGCGUAGAUAUCGGGAGGAACACCGGUGGCGAAGGCGGCGACCUGGGUAGAUACUGACGCUGAGGCGCGAAAGCGUGGGGAGCAAACAGG